rnacentral:rRNA from 1 species
ACUCAAAGGAAUAGACGGGGACCCGCACAAGCAGCGGAGCAUGCGGUUUAAUUCGAUGCAACGCGAAGAACCUUACCAAGGCUUGACAUAUAUAGGAAAGUCUUUAGAGAUAAAGACCCCCUUCGGGCUUAUAUACAGGUGGUGCAUGGCUGUCGUCAGCUCGUGUCGUGAGAUGUUAGGUUAAGUCCUUUAACGAGCGCAACCCCUGUCCUAUGUUGCCAGCGGAUAAUGCCGGGAACUCAUGGGAGACUGCCGAGGUCAACUCGGAGGAAGGUGGGGACGACGUCAAGUCAUCAUGCCCCUUAUGUCUUGGGCUACACGCAUGCUACAAUGGUCGGUACAAUGGGUUGCGAUACCGCAAGGUGGAGCUAAUCUCAAAAAGCCGAUCUCAGUUCGGAUUGGGGUCUGCAACUCGACCCCAUGAAGCUGGAGUUGCUAGUAAUCGUAGAUCAGCAACGCUACGGUGAAUACGUUCUCGGGUCUUGUACACACCGCCCGU